CAGUAGCCGCGGGAAUACGAAGGGGGCUAGCGUUGCUCGGAAUCACUGGGCGUAAAGGGUGCGUAGGCGGGUCUUUAAGUCAGGGGUGAAAUCCUGGAGCUCAACUCCAGAACUGCCUUUGAUACUGAAGAUCUUGAGUUCGGGAGAGGUGAGUGGAACUGCGAGUGUAGAGGUGAAAUUCGUAGAUAUUCGCAAGAACACCAGUGGUGAAGGCGGCUCACUGGCCCGAUACUGACGCUGAGGCACGAAAGCGUGGGGAGCAAACAGGAUUAGAUACCCCAGUAGUCCCUGUCUCUUAUAC
rnacentral:rRNA from 1 species